rnacentral:rRNA from 1 species
UACAGAGGGGGCAAGCGUUAUUCGGAAUUAUUGGGCGUAAAGGGCGCGUAGGCGGCCUGGCAAGUGGAAGGUGAAAUCCCUCGGCUUAACCGAGGAACUGCCCUCCAAACUGCUUGGCUUGAGACCGGGAGAGGUGAGUGGAAUUCCCAGUGUAGCGGUGAAAUGCGUAGAUAUUGGGAGGAACACCGGUGGCGAAGGCGGCCUCCUGGUUCAAUACUGACGCUGAGGUGCGAAAGCGUGGGGAGCAAACAGG